rnacentral:rRNA from 1 species
GACGAACGCUGGCGGCGUGCUUAACACAUGCAAGUCGAACGGAAAGGCUCUGCUUUUGUGGGGUGCUCGAGUGGCGAACGGGUGAGUAACACGGGAGUAACCUGCCCUUGACUAUGGGAUAACUUCAGGAAACUGGGGCUAAUACCGGAUAGGAGCUCCUGCUUCAUGGGGGGGGAUGGAAAGUUUCGGCGGUUGGGGAUGUACUGCCGGCUUAUCAGCUUGUUGGUGGGGUAGUGGCUUACCAAGGCUUUGCCGGGUAGCCGGCCUGAGAGGGUGAGCGGCCACAGUGGGACUGAGAUACGGACCAGACUCCUACGGGAGGCAGCAGUGGGGAAUAUUGCACAAUGGGCGGAAGCCUGAUGCAGAAACGCCGCGUGCGCGAUGACGGCCUUCGGGUUGUAAACCGCUUUCGCCUGUGACGAAGAGAAAGUGACGGUACUGUGUAAAGAAGCACCGGCUAACUACGUG